CGUAGAUAUAUGGAAGAACACCAGUGGCGAAGGCGGCUGUCUGGUCUGUAACUGACGCUGAGGCUCGAAAGUAUGGGUAGCAAACAGGAUUAGAUACCCUGGUAGUCCAUACCGUAAACGAUGAAUGCUAAGUGUUGGAGGGUUUCCGCCCUUCAGUGCUGCAGCUAACGCAUUAAGCAUUCCGCCUGGGGAGUACGGCCGCAAGGCUGAAACUCAAAGGAAUUGACGGGGGCCCGCACAAGCGGUGGAGCAUGUGGUUUAAUUCGAAGCUACGCGAAGAACCUUACCAGGUCUUGACAUACUAUGCAAAUCUAAGAGAUUAGACGUUCCCUUCGGGGACAUGGAUACAGGUGGUGCAUGGUUGUCGUCAGCUCGUGUCGUGAGAUGUUGGGUUAAGUCCCGCAACGAGCGCAACCCUUAUUAUCAGUUGCCAGCAUUAAGUUGGGCACUCUGGUGAGACUGCCGGUGACAAACCGGAGGAAGGUGGGGAUGACGUCAAAUCAUCAUGCCCCUUAUGACCUGGGCUACACACGUGCUACAAUGGAUGGUACAACGAGUUGCGAACUCGCGAGAGUAAGCUAAUCUCUUAAAGCCAUUCUCAGUUCGGAUUGUAGGCUGCAACUCGCCUACAU
rnacentral:rRNA from 2 species